GGGAAACCAAGGCGAACAUACAAACUGGGCCCUGUCAACCUUAAUGACAUUUCUGGAGAAAAAGAAGGCAGCAAUGGGAUAGUCAGAAGAGGACAGAAAAUGGAGUAUGGAAAUCCAGGUACUGUGCCAGGAAUGGGGGAAACAAAGAGAAAGUUGUAAACAGUCUCUUUCCUCAAGAUGUUUGCAUUCGACUGUGGUUUCAAAGAUACAGGAUUACCAGAUUUGUGCCAUCAACAAAUGCGAUAGGCAUAGGAUUUGCCUUCAUUCAAAUAAGUGAUACGAAUGUUAAACAGCUUUCAUCCAAGGACAGAACUCAAGAAGAUGCUUCACUAGAGACCUUCUUCCAGUCUGAGUCUCAGAGAUGGAAGAGGACUGAGAAGAACAUCAAGGGAUAAGGGAAGAAAUUCAAUCAACUAUCCGGCACUAGGCAGAAGGCCAAGGAUGGAGUCUUCAGGAUGCUCCAACAUCGUCAAGUGGGUAAAGGAAGAAAUUCAGUCAACUAACUGGAGAAGGACCCUUAUUCAUUUGUGGAAAUUAUACUCAUGUAAAAUGAACAGAACCAGAGAAUAUGGUACACAGUAACAGAAAUAUUGUAUGAUGAUCAACUGUGAAUCACUCAGCUGUUCUCAGCAAUACAAUGAUCCAAAACAAUU